UGGGGAAUAUUGCGCAAUGGGCGAAAGCCUGACGCAGCGACGCCGCGUGCGGGAGGAAGCCCUUCGGGGUGUAAACCGCUGUCAGGGGGGAAGAAACCCAAGGGUUCGAACAGGGCCUUUGGCUGACGGUACCCCCAGAGGAAGCGCCGGCUAACUCCGUGCCAGCAGCCGCGGUAAUACGAAGGGUGCAAGCGUUACUCGGAAUUACUGGGCGUAAAGCGUGCGUAGGUGGUGGCUUAAGUCCGUUGUGAAAGCCCUGGGCUCAACCUGGGAAUUGCAGUGGAUACUGGGUCACUAGAGUGUGGUAGAGGGUGGCGGAAUUCCCGGUGUAGCAGUGAAAUGCGUAGAGAUCGGGAGGAACACCCGUGGCGAAGGCGGCCACCUGGGCCAACACUGACACUGAGGCACGAAAGCGUGGGGAGCAAACAGGAUUAGAUACC
rnacentral:rRNA from 1 species